CACGUAGUUAGCCGUGGCUUUCUGAUUAGGUACCGUCAAGAUGUGCACAGUUACUUACACAUUUGUUCUUCCCUAAUAACAGAGUUUUACGAGCCGAAACCCUUCAUCACUCACGCGGCGUUGCUCCGUCAGGCUUUCGCCCAUUGCGGAAGAUUCCCUACUGCUGCUUCCCGUAGGAGUCUGGACCGUGUCUCAGUUCCAGUGUGGCCGAUCACCCUCUCAGGUCGGCUACGUAUCGUCGCCUUGGUAAGCCGUUACCUUACCAACUAGCUAAUACGGCGCGGGUCCAUCUAUAAGUGAUAGCAAAACCAUCUUUCACUUUAGAACCAUGCGGUUCUAAAUGUUAUCCGGUAUUAGCUCCGGUUUCCCGAAGUUAUCCCAGUCUUAUAGGUAGGUUACCCACGUGUUACUCACCCGUCCGCCGCUAACUUCAAAGGAGCAAGCUCCUUAUCUGUUCGCUCGACUUGCAUGUAUUAGGCACGCCGCCAGCGUUCAUCCUGAGCCAGGAUCAAACUCUA
rnacentral:rRNA from 1 species